GUUUUUUAGUGUGAAAAUAUGAAAGUUUUUAUCAGUGGUACUUUGUCAUUUCUACAAAAAUCAUCAUAAUAAAAACAUCUGUUUUCAUGAUGCUCUCUUCAUAGCACAAAGUUUUUUGAAGAGCAGUUACUUUCCCAUUCAUAGUUAAAUUCCCACUUUUCAUAAAGAAAUAGAUUAAUUUCCUGCUAGGUAGAAUUCUACUAACAACUAUUUGCCAUUAUUUAAAAGGUCAGAAAUUGGAAAAUAUCAUAUUUUUGUAAAAGCAAAAUUAGUAACACAUCUUCAUAUACGAUAGCUCUUAAGAACAUAGAUACAAGAUGACCAGCAAACCUCUCUGUGACAAUUAUUUGCAUGAUGCAAAACAAAUAACCUGAAGAUUUUACUAUAUUGUCAAUGAUCUUAUUUUUAUAAAAUGAAUACCAACCCUAACAUUUUGUAUUUCUUUAUGCUCUCACUAUUCCAAGUAUAGUUCAUGGACAAGCAGUAUUGGCAUCACCUGGGAACUUGUCAGAAAUGCAGGAUCCCGGGACAGGCCAGCCCUCCUGAAUUACAACCUUCAUUUAAGAAGAUCCCCAGGUGAACCAUAUACACUUGCAUGUUUGUGAGUACUGUCCUAUGAAAUUCUGUCUUCUACUUCUUUGCCACAGUAACUUGUUAUGGAAAAAUGAACUAAAUGAAUUUCCCACAUGGGACAACUCUACGGCCUGACUCUGGAAUCCAUUUUUUCUCCAAUCAAACCAUCUGCUCCACUGGAGUGUAUCCUCAGCAUCCAGCACUGUGCAGUGAGUUGGAACUUAACUCAUUUGUUAAAAUGAAUGACCCAUCAUUUGCCGCUGUUGAUAGAAGAAAAGGCUGGCAUCUUUCCAGGGCUGGAGCCACAGCACCCUCUCUACCCUGCAACCUGGACUCAGAUUCUUCCUAACCACACAGGGGAUAUAAGUACUGCUCACAAGAUAUAAGAAAUACAUACUCUGGGCACUCCCAUGGGCAUUAUCGGGGAAAACAAGAGGUGGGAGAGGGGAGUGAGAAGAAAAGGCAGCAGAGCAGUAUGCCCUGGUCUCCCAGUUGUUAAAUGACAUCUUUAGAACUCCCAGACCACCUGGACUUGUACUGUCUUUCAUAGCAUGGUAGUUUUUCUCUCCCUUAAGGAGAACUGCUGUAUCAGUCCAUUUUCACACUGCUAUAAAGACAUACCUGAGAUUGAAUAAUUUAUAAAGGACAGACAUUUAAUUGACCCACAGUUCCACAUAGCUGAGGAGGCCUCAGGAAACUUGCAAUCAUGGCAGAUGGGAAAGAGGCAGCUUUCUCAAGGUGGCAGGAGAGAGAAGUAAGAGCACUGGAAAAAACUGCCACUUUUAAAAUCAUCAGAUCUCAUGAUCCAAUCACCUCCUACCAGAUCUCUCCCUCAACACCUGGGGAUUAUGAUUCAAGAUGAGAUUUGGGUGGGGACACAAAGGCUAACCAUACCAGAGACCUACCUACUUAC
rnacentral:lncRNA from 13 species